rnacentral:rRNA from 1 species
CAAGAGAACGUGAAACCGUUAUAGUKGAAGCGGAUGGAGCCGACGUAUCCAGCGCGUAUUCAGCCGUGGGUGUGUGCGAUGCAUGGCGGGUGGGUGCUGCAAAGUCCCCUCGUUGUGCACUUGCAUGUGCUGGCGGUGCAUUUGCGUGCAGAGUGCGUCGAGUCGGCCGGGGCUGUCGUUGGAGACGCACAAAGAGGCCCAGCUUGCUGGAACCCUGCGUGUGUGGAAGGCGAGUAGUCGUGGUUGUGUGGGGUUGGUGAAUUCGUGGGUGUGAGCGGGGGUUUGGGCUGUUUGCGUGUAGUGCUUGCAUUGCAUACUCGUGGUUUUUAUUCCUGCUUACGUCUGCUCUGCCCUUACUCGACGUCAAGUCGGUCACCCAUUUGACCCGUCUUGAAACACGGACCAAGGAGUUUAAGGUUCACGCAAGUCAUUGGGCGGCAAACCCAAAGGCGUAAUGAAAGUGGGACACUUGGUGUCUGUGAUGCGACCCGCAUUCGUUUCGAUGGGCGUGGGGCAGCAUCGACCCAUGACUAGCAUUCAUGCUGUUGUGGAGUCCGAGCGUGAGCUUUGAGACCCGAAAGAUGGUGAACUAUGCCUGAACAGGACGAAGU